UUGAACGCUGGCGGCAGGCCUAACACAUGCAAGUCGAGCGGAUGAAGGGAGCUUGCUCCUGGAUUCAGCGGCGGACGGGUGAGUAAUGCCUAGGAAUCUGCCUGGUAGUGGGGGAUAACGUCCGGAGACGGGCGCUAAUACCGCAUACGUCCUGAGGGAGAAAGUGGGGGAUCUUCGGACCUCACGCUAUCAGAUGAGCCUAGGUCGGAUUAGCUAGUUGGUGGGGUAAAGGCCUACCAAGGCGACGAUCCGUAACUGGUCUGAGAGGAUGAUCAGUCACACUGGAACUGAGACACGGUCCAGACUCCUACGGGAGGCAGCAGUGGGGAAUAUUGGACAAUGGGCGAAAGCCUGAUCCAGCCAUGCCGCGUGUGUGAAGAAGGUCUUCGGAUUGUAAAGCACUUUAAGUUGGGAGGAAGGGCAGUAAGUUAAUACCUUGCUGUUUUGACGUUACCAACAGAAUAAGCACCGGCUAACUUCGUG
rnacentral:rRNA from 1 species